AUGGUGAUAAGCAACAAUCAAUUGAAAAAAGACAAUAAAGACAAAAGGGUAUGUUACCUGGAUCCAACAUGGUGGAGUUUGGACGUUGUGUCGAUGGGCGAAGAUGUACGAGCACUGCUCCAAUGUCAUAUGGAGAGUUCGAUUCCGGAAGAACUGCGUCGAAGGGAAUGCUCUGAAAAUAUUUUCCGACGGAAGUGUUGUUGUGCAUCUGAAGCAGUGGCUUUUGUCGGUAUUGAAAUUUUUUUUUCCUUUUUCUUCUAUUUCUUUUUCCUGCCAAAGAAUUCAGAUCGGUUAUAA